UACGAAGGGGGCUAGCGUUGCUCGGAAUCACUGGGCGUAAAGCGCACGUAGGCGGACUCUUAAGUCGGUGGUGAAAUCCUGGAGCUCAACUCCAGAACUGCCUUCGAUACUGAGAGUCUCGAGUCCGAGAGAGGUGAGUGGAACUGCGAGUGUAGAGGUGAAAUUCGUAGAUAUUCGCAAGAACACCAGUGGCGAAGGCGGCUCACUGGCUCGGUACUGACGCUGAGGUGCGAAAGCGAUGGGUAGCAACGAGGA
rnacentral:rRNA from 1 species